UACAUAGGGUGCAAGCGUUGUCCGGAAUUAUUGGGCGUAAAGAGCUCGUAGGUGGUUCGUUACGUCGGAUGUGAAAUCUGGGGCUCAACCCCAGACCUGCAUCCGAUACGGUCGAGCUAGAGUUUGGUAGGGGAGACUGGAAUUCCUGGUGUAGCGGUGGAAUGCGCAGAUAUCAGGAGGAACACCAAUGGCGAAGGCAGGUCUCUGGGCCAAUACUGACACUGAGGAGCGAAAGCGUGGGGAGCGAACAGG
rnacentral:rRNA from 1 species